AAAUGUCCAAAACACAAAAAGUGUUUUGGAGUUGAGUCCGCGAGAGAAAAUGAGGCAAACUGCAUCAUUGGGCUGAUGUUGCUCUCGGGGACCGGUCUCUGCAGUUGAGAGACCGGUUCCCUUGGCUAGGUGUUGCGGGGUUGCUUGAUGCAACCGGUCCCUGGCAGGGAGGGACCGGUUCCCGAACGUGGUCCGAGCGAGAAAAUGCCGAAAUUGGCUAAGUCCUGAAAAUUGAGCUCUCGGGGACCGGUCUCUCAGGCGAGGACCGGUCUCCCGAGGACCGGUCUCCCGGGGAGAGACCGGUUCCCGAACGCGUGCGCCCGAGGGAAGCUCUCGGGGACCGGUCCCAAGUCGGGGAGACCGGUCCCUCCGCGCGAAAACUGCCCAGUAAGGGCAGUGCACAGGAGUAAAAGUUGAGGGGCUUUUAUGCAAAAUGGCUUUUAUUUGAGUGGGCUGAUCCCUCUCUCUCCCUCACACUCACCUCAUUUCAUUCUCUCUCACUCUCUUUCUCUCUUGCUCUCUCUUUCUCUAGAAAAGAAAGGAGAAGAUGAAGAACAAGAAGGAGAGGAAGGAAAAGAAGAGGAAGAUAAGGAAGGAGAAGAAGAAGGAGGUCAAGAGGAAGGCUUUGAGCACCUCCAUCUCCCUCUCCUCUUC
rnacentral:lncRNA from 1 species